GACGAACGCUGGCGGCGUGCCUAAUACAUGCAAGUAGAACGCUGAAGAGAGGAGCUUACUCUUCUUGGAUGAGUUGCGAACGGGUGAGUAACGCGUAGGUAACCUGCCUUGUAGCGGGGGAUAACUAUUGGAAACGAUAGCUAGUACCGCAUAACAAUGGAUGACACAUGUCAUUUAUUUGAAAGGGGCAAUUGCUCCACUACAAGAUGGACCUGCGUUGUAUUAGCUAGUAGGUGAGGUAAUGGCUCACCUAGGCGACGAUACAUAGCCGACCUGAGAGGGUGAUCGGCCACACUGGGACUGAGACACGGCCCAGACUCCUACGGGAGGCAGCAGUAGGGAAUCUUCGGCAAUGGGGGCAACCCUGACCGAGCAACGCCGCGUGAGUGAAGAAGGUUUUCGGAUCGUAAAGCUCUGUUGUAAGUCAAGAACGGGUGUGAGAGUGGAAAGCUCACACUGUGACGGUAGCUUACCAGAAAGGGACGGCUAACUACGUG
rnacentral:rRNA from 1 species